CUAUAGUGUGCCACGAAAACAUUGACAGAUCGCCUGUUUAGGCCCCAGAGCCGAGAAGUCAGAGCCAAGUCGGCGAAGACGGAGCCGCCAUUAACGCAAAUGACUCUGCAAAAUGGCGGCCAUAUUAGGCAAGAAGCCCAUGCCCAAGACCCGAGACUCCAGACCCAGUACCAGUAACACUACCUCUGCCUUAACAUCUACCAGCCCCAGUCGGUUGGUCUAACCCAACCAGAAAUUACGGGCCCAGUCUGGUUUGACAAGCGCAUGUUGAUUGGGGCAGCGAGAUUGGCAAACGGCAACCACUGUUGCCACGUUACCACGAUGAUGAUGUCCAAAAUGACGAUGAUGACGGCGAAGGCGAUGAUGGCGAUGAUUACGAUGAUGGGGGGCGCAGUUGCCGCCGCUGACAGUGAUGACUGUCAAGAGCAAUUAAAGUCAAACUCAAGUCCGGGGAACUUAGAUUUUUCGCCGCCGCAAAACGCAGCUGCGCAUGGUCAGUGGACCAUCCAUCCAUCUAUCCAUCCAUCGGACUAGCCCCGGACGUGAGCUGACGUCCAGCCAAAUGCAACAGCCGUACACUCUGAAAAAGUUCCCGGACUUUAUAAACAAUAAAUACUCAUAAAGAUAAGGGAGAUACCAAAA